rnacentral:rRNA from 1 species
AUUGAACGCUGGCGGCAUGCCUUACACAUGCAAGUCGAACGGCAGCACGGGUGCUUGCACCUGGUGGCGAGUGGCGAACGGGUGAGUAAUACAUCGGCACAUGUCCUGUAGUGGGGGAUAGCCCGGCGAAAGCCGGAUUAAUACCGCAUACGAUCUACGGAUGAAAGCGGGGGACCUUCGGGCCUCGCGCUAUAGGGUUGGCCGAUGGCUGAUUAGCUAGUUGGUGGGGUAAAGGCCUACCAAGGCGACGAUCAGUAGCUGGUCUGAGAGGACGACCAGCCACACUGGGACUGAGACACGGCCCAGACUCCUACGGGAGGCAGCAGUGGGGAAUUGUGGACAAUGGGCGAAAGCCUGAUCCAGCAAUGCCGCGUGUGUGAAGAAGGCCUUCGGGUUGUAAAGCACUUUUGUCCGGAAAGAAAUCCUUGGCCCUAAUACGGUCGGGGGAUGACGGUACCGGAAGAAUAAGCACCGGCUAACUACGUG